UAUUUUCGGAGAAACACUACUCAUUGUAGUAAAAAGUAACAAUGAAUAGCGAUAUCAUCUAGGAAGGAUCGCUACCCUAACGCGAAGGAAAGGCCUUGCGCGGCUGCUCUACGAAGUGUUGAAGAAAGACUCAUCAAAUUUAGUUGGUGGACGAACAACUCGCUGGCGCCGGAAAACUUGGCCCCCAAUGAUGGUGUUUGGUGAAUCAUCAAGCAUAAUGUCUUGUAGCAGUGUUCACCGAGGAAGGAGAACGCUCUAGACUAGUCGCUGCUGUUGUCCGUUUCAUCCACGUUGAGCGUUAGCUGCACCGCGCCUAUUGUGUUUUAGUAUUCCAUGGACGCACAUUAGCAUUCAGAGCGAUUGUGGAGCCACAAUUUACUUCACACAGCGUUGUAUUGUCCACGAGCGCAAACUUAAUUAUCAGCAGUACCUGUUACUCUUCAUCCUACAUGUGGACUUGGAGUAUACACGGCCUUGUCACGACAGCGACAGCUCUACAGAUCAUGCAGAGUGUUCAAGUGAGAAACAUUUUAAAAUUUCUAUUGUUGGUGGACGAAUAAAUGGCUGGUUCCGAAAAAACGCGGCCUGCACCGAUGGUGUUUGGUGGAUCAUCAAACAGGGUGACCAGCAGUGUUCACCGAGGAAGGAGAAUGCACUCGCCACCACUCCGAUUCAUCCAAGUGGGCGUUAGCUGCGCCGCGCCUAUUGUGUUUUAGUAUUCCAUGGACGCACACUAGCGUUCUCAGCGAUUGUGGAGCCACAACAUAUCUUCAUGCGGCGUUGCACUGUCCAAGAGCAGAAACGUCAGCAGUGACCCAUCAUCAUACAUGUAGAUUUGGAGUAUACACACCAUGCGCCAAUGGGCCUCGGCACAACAGCGGCAGCUCUACGGAGUGUUCAAGUGAGAAACAUUUGUUUCGACUUUUGGUGGACGAACAAAUCGUCGGUGCCGAAAAACGUGGCCUGCGCCGAUGGUGCUUGAAACAUCAAGCAUGGUAUGUGGUGACUGUCAGUGUUGAUCGAGGAAGGAGAACACUCAGGCCGUCGACCGUUCAUCCAUUUCGUUAGCUGCACCAAGCCUAUUGUGUCCUUGUAUUCCAUGGGCACACAAUCAUGAAGCAUGGCGUCUGAGCUGUGUUCACAGAGCGGGGAGAUGCUCUUGCUGCUAUCUUAUCUGUCCUGUGUAUUCCCAAGUGCCGAAGGCUCACAACGAUGGUGUUGGACAAGUCAGAUAAAAUAGAGUCAACAUCAUCACACGGUGCUGUGACCAAGAUACGGAUCAUGCCGAACGCUGAUUCAACUGGACGAAUCGCGAGGCUUUUCAGAUGCAGGGACACAAUGGAAACUGAAUGACUUCAGAACAGCACUGAAGCGUUAUGUUAUCAUGCAAGACGCCUUUCUGCGCCGCACAAACACAGGCGGUACUACAGCAGAAGAUGUCACUCACUAUUCUGCAGGUGCACUGGUGACAGGCGCGUGCAAGUUCACCAGAAGGAAGCGGUCUGAUGUUAACUGGAAUGCCAGCAGUAUGACAGGGUGUGCAUUCUGCGGCGGAUCUCACCUGGACAAGAGCUGCGCGAAAUACACAACAGUAGCACAGCGGAAAGAAUAACUGAUUGAACAGAAGCGUUGCUUUGUGUGUUUGCGCACAGGGCACCGGUCAACUCAGUGCAAGGCCACCCGCAAGUGUAAUGUGUGUUCUCGCAUGGGUCACCAAUCAGAGUCAACAUCAUGUCACGAUCUGCCCUGAAUCUCAACAGAAAUCUGACAGCAGUACCAACAUAGUAGCUGACCAGCCUGUAGCUGACGAGGUACCAGCAUCUAGCGCAACAGCAGCUAGUGCAGCAUCAACCAGUAUCGCCAUUGACCGUAAGAUAGUCAGUCGUCUUGAUCGGUGCAGAUUUCCUCUGGGAGUCUUGACGGGGAGCACCAGAGGACUUCCGCCAGGACUACAGUUUCUGCCUACCACAGUCAGUUUUGUGGUGACUGGCCGACCACGUCACUCCAAGCACUCAGCUACGCCGAUGAGCAGCCAUGCCAGCUAUCGUUUCUCUAACUGAUGCAACUUCCGACUCCUGCACCAUCCCAGAUCUGUGGGACCUAGACUGUGUUGACAUCUAGGAUUCAGGCAAUCUUACUAACAACGACCUAGCCAUUAGGCAAUUCAUCAUUGUUCUACGAUUUUGCCUGCCACCAAUCGUCAUGACCUGCGAUACUGAGAAGGCCAUUUUACAAAUCAGUGCCAACCCAGCAUACAGAGAUGCGACACGAUUUCUGUGGUUCGCCAACUCCGACAGUCCAUCAGUCACCCCAUCCAGCCUGUUCACGCUCAUAAGCAGUCCAUUUCUGCUUGGCGCGUCUAUACAGCAUCAUUUGGCACAGCAAGAUGACAAAACAGCUAGCAGUGGCUAUUGGUGAGAACAUAGGCCUGGCGUAUGGUAUAAUUAUAUGAGCAGCAUGAGAGUGAAGUAAAAGACUAUUACCUCAAACAUUCAGUCUUUUAAGAGUAGGUGUUUCAUCACGGAAUAGGUUCUGCAGUUCACAUACACACUGCAACAAUGGACCAGCAGUGUCCAGCAUACAAUAGAGUCAUGUGAAUAUGUACCGUAUGCAUACUCACAGCUGCAAGGCCAGCGCCCCGUGGCUGCUUGACUUCUCAAUCGAUAUAAAUUUUCACAACAGUAAGACUCUGUGAUCAAUCAGAGCUGUGCUUCGAAGUAGUCACAAAUGCCCCAUGAUCAGUCACAAAACAAAACUUUGCAACCAG